rnacentral:rRNA from 1 species
UACGUAGGGGGCAAGCGUUGUCCGGAUUUAUUGGGCGUAAAGAGCGUGUAGGCGGCCAAACAGGUCCGCUGUGAAAACUCGAGGCUCAACCUCGAGAGGUCGGUGGAAACCGUUUGGCUAGAGUCCGGAAGAGGAGAGUGGAAUUCCCGGUGUAGCGGUGAAAUGCGCAGAUAUCGGGAAGAACACCCGUGGCGAAGGCGGCUCUCUGGGACGGUACUGACGCUGAGACGCGAAAGCGUGGGGAGCAAACAGG